rnacentral:misc_RNA from 1 species
AACGCACAUUGCGCCCCCUGGUAUUCCGGGGGGCAUGCCUGUCCGAGCGUCAUUUCACCAAUCAAGCCCCGCUUGGUGUUGGGCGGCGGCCGCGGACCCCCUUUCUCGGGGGGCGCGGCCCCCCCGAAACGCAUCGGCGAGGAGACCGACCCCCGGCGUGUUGAGAAUUUCCAAAAAUUCGGACGUCGGGAGCACCGGUCACCCCGGCCGCGACCUUUUUUUCCACAGGUUGACCUCGGAUCAGGUAGGGAUACCCGCUGAACUUAA